CCUACGGGUGGCAGCAGUGAGGAAUAUUGGUCAAUGGACGCAAGUCUGAACCAGCCAUGCCGCGUGCAGGAAGACGGCUCUAUGAGUUGUAAACUGCUUUUGUAAGAGGGUAAACGCAGAUACGCGUAUCUGUCUGCAAGUAUCGUACGACUAAGGAUAGGCUACCUCCGUGCCAGCAGUCGCGGUAAUACGGAGGAUUCAAGCGUUAUCCGGAUUUAUUGGGUUUAGGGGGUGAGUAGGCGGUCGGAGAAGUUAGAGGUGAAAUCCCGAGGCUCAACUUCGGAAUUGCCUCUGAUACUGUUCGGCUAGAGAGUAGUGGCGGUAGGCGGAAUGUAUGGUGUAGCGGUGAAAUGCUUAGAGAUCAUACAGAACACCGAGUGCGAAGGCAGCUUACCAAGCUACUUCUGACGUUGAGGCACGAAAGCGUGGGGAGCAAACAGGAUUAGAUACCCUUGUAGUC
rnacentral:rRNA from 1 species